rnacentral:rRNA from 1 species
CCAAAUGGCCUAACCACCCUAUAAGUUCCAGAUCCCAUUUGAUCAUGGAAACUAAACAGAGUCCGCUCUGGUUUGCACUAGGAUGGAAGACUUCCUGGAAAUACCAGGUGCUGUAGGCU